AAAUAUCCCUAGAUAGGAUACAAAGGAAAAAUCUCUGCACUUUCUGUUUUUGUGGCAGUCCAGAUUGAAUUGGGGAAUACAUCU
ensembl:snoRNA